ACGGGAGGCAGCAGUGGGGAAUAUUGCACAAUGGGGGAAACCCUGAUGCAGCGACGCCGCGUGAGUGAUGAAGUAUUUCGGUACGUAAAGCUCUAUCAGCAGGGAAGAUAAUGACGGUACCUGACUAAGAAGCCCCGGCUAACUACGUGCCAGCAGCCGCGGUAAUACGUAGGGGGCAAGCGUUAUCCAGAUUUACUGGGUGUAAAGGGAGUGUAGGUGGCCAGGCAAGCCAGAUGUGAAAGCCCGCGGCUCAACCGUUGGACUGCAUUUGGAACUGUUAUGCUUGAGUGCAGGAGAGGAAAGUGGAAUUCCUAGUGUAGCGGUGAAAUGCGUAGAUAUUAGGAGGAACACCAGUGGCGAAGGCGGCUUUCUGGACUGUAACUGACACUGAGGCUCGAAAGCGUGGGGAGCAAACAGGAUUAGAUACCCUGGUA
rnacentral:rRNA from 1 species